AUUGAACGCUGGCGGCAUGCUUUACACAUGCAAGUCGAACGGCAGCGCGGGCUUCGGCCUGGCGGCGAGUGGCGAACGGGUGAGUAAUGCAUCGGAACGUGCCCAGUAGUGGGGGAUAGCCCGGCGAAAGCCGGAUUAAUACCGCAUACGACCUGAGGGUGAAAGCGGGGGACCGAAAGUCCUCGCGAUAUUGGAGCGGCCGAUGUCGGAUUAGCUAGUUGGUGGGGUAAAGGCUUACCAAGGCGACGAUCCGUAGCUGGUCUGAGAGGACGACCAGCCACACUGGGACUGAGACACGGCCCAGACUCCUACGGGAGGCAGCAGUGGGGAAUUUUGGACAAUGGGGGCAACCCUGAUCCAGCCAUGCCGCGUGCGGGAAGAAGGCCUUCGGGUUGUAAACCGCUUUUGUUCGGGAAGAAAUCCUCUGGGCUAAUACCCCGGGGGGAUGACGGUACCGGAAGAAUAAGCACCGGCUAACUACGUG
rnacentral:rRNA from 1 species